UCCUGCCUUGAUGCCCGAUGACGCCUGAGAUAGGCACAGGCUCCCCGUGACCCGAGGUAGUUCGGAUAAGCGGUAGAAAAUGAAUGAAUGAAUAAAACCAUGCCAACGUCUUGUGCUGGCUAGCUAAAUUUCUGCUAGCAAUGCUGCUAUUGCUGUUUAUAACAGCUAGACUAGACAUCCAGACAGACAUCUUAUCUUGAUACAAAGAUAAAAAAUAAAUAUUCUUAUGUCAUUUAUUUUAUUUUAAUCAAGCUUAUGUUCAGUACAAAAGGCUAAUCCUAGCUAGCUACAUUAGGAGCCACUUCAAAUGCUUAAUUGUCGUUGUUAAAAUAGUAAAAGUAUAAACUAAAGCUAUGAUUUUAGAAGUUACUAUGCUAACAACUAGUGUAGGUUAUAACUUCUCUAAACACUUCAACGCUAUUCGUAGAAUUGACCUUUAGAUAGAUUGACAGAUACCACUGUUGCUUAUAGACUAUAAAAAGGUUUCAGAUAUAUUUUUAAGGUAAAUGUAUUUAAAUCGAAUGUUUUGAUAAAGAAAAAUGAUUUGCAGAAUCCUGAAGUAAAGCUAGCUAGUUUCAGUAGAUUUUCCUGUUAAAAAUAGACUUAAACUCGCUUAAUGACGUGUUCAGCUGCUAAAAUAGUUUACAUCAGUUUAUACAUAAGCAUGCUGUGAGCAUACUAGUAGGAAAUGCUAGUUACUUGUAAUGCUAGCAAUGAAUAAUCUACAGGUGGUAAGAAAAGGUUUUGUUUAAUUCAAAAUACUAAACCAGCUAGAUACAUUAAAAGCUACACUCAGAUGUAUUCAGUAAAAUAGUGAAACUAAUUACAAUCUACGUUUUGGUUCAACAAGUAGAAAAUGUGAACAAACAAACUAGCUAGCUGUUAGCUUUGCUAGCGCCACUGUUGCUGCUCGGUAUCAAGAUCAGCGGCUCCAAGAUAGCUGCUUUAUUAUUCAUUCUGUUCAGAAAUUCAGAAAAUGCUUUUUAACCCAACAGUUUUACGUGAGGAUGUGAUUUUAUUUUUUAAUCGUGACAUUUUCAAGAUGCUGACCUUGGUUUUUUAACAAUAUUAGCUGCAUAGCUUUCGGUGAAAUGAUAACGAUCAAGCUUGACACACCGGACUUGUCUUUGUUGACUAGGUACAUUUAGAUUAGGAAGGAAAUAAAAGGGUGUAAAUUUGUAUUUUUGGCUGAACUGUUUGUUUAAAAGUAACAAGGAUUAAGAGGAAAUAAGAAAUGCCGGACGAAGCUAUGCUGGUUGGUGCGAACAGAGUCGUGGCCUUCGAGUCAGGGCAAUAAAGUGAAGUGUUUUUGCUUCUGUAUACUCGAGUGUGACAUCGAGCCAAAGAGAAGCUCUGCUGUUUUUUUUUUCUUUUUUAUUUCUUUCUAUUUUUAUUUCCUCCACAUGUAGCGUAACAUGUUCAAUAGUCAUAGGAAGCAGUGACACGGCCAUGUUUCAUCGAGCUAGUGAUCGUUACCUCUUGUAAUGUGUGUGUGUGUGUGUGUGUGUGUGUGUGCGUGUCAGGAAUAAUAUGAAGUAAGAAUAAAAGCCUGGAGUGUAUUGUACUUUGGAAAAUACCGAUGACUUGUAAGAUAUACGUGUAUUAAAAAUGUAUUUAUUGUACAGCGAAUGAAUCUAAUUCUUUUCAUAUUUAUAUGGACGUUUUAUAAAUAUUAAUAUAUACUGUACUACAUUUUGGAAUAUGUAUUGCUCCCCUGUUCCAGAUGUAUAUAUGUCUAUAUUUUUUCAUGUAAAAAAAAAAUGCUGUAAAAUAGUUGUACAUUUUUUUUUUUUUUUUCUUUUUCUUAUUAUUUUUUUUAGAAUGGGUCGAUACAUGUUCUGUCAUGUACAAAUACAUAUUUUUGUAUUGCAUGUGGCUAUUAUUCUGUAAAUGAUCCACUUUUUCUUUUGUUUUCCUCUUUGAGAAACAAUAAAGCUGUGCUCGCAUUUCUAAA